GGAAUCUUUUCAACCGUUACAACGCUUCAAGGUAUAUUUAUUUUCCAUUCUUUCACAAAGGCUAUAUCCAAUACGUCUGGAAACCUCAUUGGCUCUACCUUCAAAAUAUAUUCAGAAUUCAGGAAGUUCCUCAGGCAAAAAGGAAUAUGAGACCAACCAUAAACCUGGAUCUACAUCAAGAAAUGAAGAGUAUGGGAAAUGGAGUAAAACAAGGAAAACAGAAAAAAGCAGCAGCAGCCAUGAGUCCACCAGGAAACAAAGCUUUCCCUGAAGAACCUCUGAGCAGACUUCUCUGUACGGCUCAUUUGUCAGAGAAGCCAGAUGACUGACCCAGCUGCAGGGGAGACCAGAAAGUGGGGAACAGGAUCACUAUGAUUGUAUUACCCCAUCAAGAUCCAUUGACUCGAGAUGAGCACAUUGGCACCUCAAAAAACGAAGAAGAAAGUGAAAACAGAUAUUGAUUAAGUAAUUUGCAACAUCUGCAACAAACACCACCCUCCUGCCAAUCAAACAUCAGGUUAAGUCUACUCUAUCCCUUAAAUAUCUCUAAAAUGUGUCUCAUUUAUCACUACCCCCACUUUAACCUAAAUUACUAUCAUCUAUGCUCAGGAUCAGACCAUCAGACUCUUCAUUGUUUCUCUGCUGUAUAAUACUGUUUCUUCCUUCCAAUUUCUUCUCCAACUUUAUCCAGUGUGAUCUUUCAUGGAGUUAAAUCUGAACUUGUUAUUCAUUUGGCUUAAACCACUUCAGCGGCAAACACCAGGCUAUUUCUUUCCUCUGCUCAUCUGGUCCCCCCUGCGUAGUAGGGGGGGGACCAACCACUUCACCAACCACUCCCACUUACCCACGUGUAGCUAAUUCCUAAUUAUCCUUUAAGGUUUUCCCUCACUCUUCCCAUCACAUCGCUCAUCUCUCAGCUAAGGUAGGUGCAACUUCAUGUGUUCUCAAA